AGAAGGUGUUAACAGUGACAGUAUAAUAUACAUUUAUCAACAAACGAAAAAAAAGUAUAAGUUAGAAUGAAUAAUGAAGAAAUUCAGGGUUAGGGCUUAUAGGGUUUAAGAGGAAGAGAAAGAAGAAGAAGAGAGAGAGAGAUUUUAUAUAUCUGGAAUUGGAAUAUUAACUCUACAUCAGCAAAAAAUAUAUAUAAACCCUGACAUGGUGAAAUGGCCAUCAUACUUUCAACUUAAGUAAAUAUUAACAGAAGGACGCAUAGAGGUCAAACAUGCGCUUGACGGAUAAACGAUGAAACGAAGACCGAGUCAAAGAUUUAGUGAGAAUAUCACCUAAUUGAUCUUCAGAACGAACAUAAGGAGCCACAAGCUGCUUGCGUAUUAAGAGAUCACAGAUAAAAUGAUAAUCAACUUCGAUGUGUUUGAUUCGUUAAUGGAACACGGGAUUAUUGGCAAUGAAGAUAGCAGCCUGAUUAUGAUAAGACAUACUCAUAUAGGAGUGAGAACAGAAAAACCAAAAUCCCGAAGAAGAGACUAAACCCAGAGCAUCUCAGAAGCAGUAUGAGCCAUGGCACGUCACUCAACCUCGACACUAGAACGAGCAACAACAGGCUGUUUCUUGCUAUGCCAAGCAACAAGAUUACCACCAACAAAGGUACAAUAGCCCGAGGUGGAAUGGUGGUCAGUCUUAUCACCAACCCAAUCAGCAUCACUGAAGCUAGUGACAGAUAACGAGGAAGAUGGGUGAUAUAGCAAACCCCGACCGAGGGCACUCUUUAAGUACUAGAAAAUGCGACACACAGCAGCAAAAUAGGGUUGGCAGGGAGCAUGCAUAAACUUACUAACCAUACCCACGACAUACGUAAUAUCAGGAUGAGUGACAGGGAGAUAGAUUAACUUCCCAACCAACCGACGAUAACGACCAAUAUCAGGAAACAAGUCUCCGGUUUCACCAUCAAAUUUGACAUUAGAAUCCAUGGAAGUAUCACUAAGGCGAGCGCCUAAGAGGACAGUCUUAGUGAGGAGAUCAAGAACAUACUUCCGUUGGGAGAGAAACAAUCCCUGAGAAGAGCAAGCAAUUUCAAUCCCAAGAAAAAAACAACGAUGACCUAAGUCUUUGGUGAGAAAUUGUUGGCUCAAAUACCACUUCAAAUCAACAAUACCAGUGGAGUCACUACCAAAAAUGAUUAUGUCAUUGCCAUAGACAAUAAAAACAAUACUCCCCAGAAAUGAGUGUCGAACAAAGACAGAGUGAUCAAAAGUGGAACAGUGAAAAUCAUAGGCAAGCAUAAUAACACUGAAACGAUCAAACCAGGCACGAGGGGACUGCUUAAGACCAUACAAGGCCUUCUGCAAUCGACAAACAAGAUGCUCAUGACCGGGAACAACAUAGUUAGGGGAUGAUCCAUAUAGACCUCCUCUUGGAGAUCACCAUAACGAAAGGCAUUCUUGAUAUCAAGUUGAUACAAAGGCCAAGAUUGACUAACUGCAACGGAGAGAAGGAUCCGAACAGAAUUAAGGCGUGCCAAAGGAGAGAGUCUCCAAGUGAUCAACACUAUAGGUUUGUGUGUAGCCUUUGGCUACCAGGCGAGUCGUAAGCCGCUUAACAAUUCCAUCAGGAAGAUACUUAACAGUAUAAAUCCAAUGACAACCCACACUAGAUUUGCCAGAAGGUAGAGGGGUAAGUUCCCAUGUUUGAUUCUGAUGAAGGGCAUGCAUUUCCUCGUCCAUUGCAUGCUUCCAACCGAAGAUGGACAUAGUCUGCUGAUAGGAACGAGGAAUAGGAAUACUAGGCAAGCUACAAGUAAAGGAGUGAAGACCAGGAGAGAGGUGACCAUAAAAAACAAAAUUAGCAAUAGGAUGUUGAGUGCAAGUACGUUUACCUUUGCGGAGGGCAAUAGGAAGGUCAUCAGAGGGCAUAUCAGCAGAUGGAAUAGGGGAGGCAGGAACCUCAGACGAAGGAGAUGAAUUGGUCAGGCCAUAAGAUACAAAUACGACGAGCUUGAGACCUUUGAUAAACCUGCAAAGGAGGGGUAACGGGAAGACUAGAGGGAGAGGAUAUAGAAGUAGAGGAGGAAAGAACACAAGACGGAAGAGUAAGGGUGAGAGAAGUUGACUCCCCCACACGACAAGAGAGAAGAUCAAUGGAUAACUGUUGCCCAGAGGAAGAGAAAAAGGAGUGGACUCAAAAAAGGUAACAUCAGUGCUGAUAAAGUAUUGACGUGACUCAGGAUGAUAACAUCGAUACCCUUUUUGAGUACGAGAGUAGCCUAAGAACACACUUGCGAGCACGAGGAGAUAACUUAUCUAAGCCGGGUUCAA